GGUUGUGUAGUGUAGUGGUUAUCACUCGAGAUUUUGAAACGCCUUGCUCUUCUUCUCGUAACCCCGGUUCGAACCCGGGCACGACCU